rnacentral:rRNA from 1 species
UUUAACUGAAGAGUUUGAUCAUGGCUCAGAUUGAACGCUGGCGGCAGGCUUAACACAUGCAAGUCGAGCGGGGGAAGGUAGCUUGCUACUGGACCUAGCGGCGGACGGGUGAGUAAUGCUUAGGAAUCUGCCUAUUAGUGGGGGACAACAUCUCGAAAGGGAUGCUAAUACCGCAUACGUCCUACGGGAGAAAGCAGGGGAUCUUCGGACCUUGCGCUAAUAGAUGAGCCUAAGUCGGAUUAGCUAGUUGGUGGGGUAAAGGCCUACCAAGGCGACGAUCUGUAGCGGGUCUGAGAGGAUGAUCCGCCACACUGGGACUGAGACACGGCCCAGACUCCUACGGGAGGCAGCAGUGGGGAAUAUUGGACAAUGGGGGGAACCCUGAUCCAGCCAUGCCGCGUGUGUGAAGAAGGCCUUAUGGUUGUAAAGCACUUUAAGCGAGGAGGAGGCUACUUUAGUUAAUACCUAGAGAUAGUGGACGUUACUCGCAGAAUAAGCACCGGCUAACU